AUUGAACGCUGGCGGCAUGCCUUACACAUGCAAGUCGAACGGUAACGCGGGGCAACCUGGCGACGAGUGGCGAACGGGUGAGUAAUACAUCGGAACGUGCCCAGUAGUGGGGGAUAGCCCGGCGAAAGCCGGAUUAAUACCGCAUACGACCUGUGGGUGAAAGCGGGGGAUCGCAAGACCUCGCGCUAUUGGAGCGGCCGAUAUCAGAUUAGCUAGUUGGUGGGGUAAAGGCCUACCAAGGCGACGAUCUGUAGCUGGUCUGAGAGGACGACCAGCCACACUGGGACUGAGACACGGCCCAGACUCCUACGGGAGGCAGCAGUGGGGAAUUUUGGACAAUGGGCGAAAGCCUGAUCCAGCCAUUCCGCGUGCAGGAUGAAGGCCCUCGGGUUGUAAACUGCUUUUGUACAGAACGAAAAGGUCUCUAUUAAUACUAGGGGCUCAUGACGGUACUGUAAGAAUAAGCACCGGCUAACUACGUG
rnacentral:rRNA from 1 species